GAUGAACGCUGGCGGCGUGCCUAAUACAUGCAAGUCGAGCGAACAGAUGAGGAGCUUGCUCCUCUGACGUUAGCGGCGGACGGGUGAGUAACACGUGGAUAACCUACCUAUAAGACUGGGAUAACUUCGGGAAACCGGAGCUAAUACCGGAUAAUAUAUUGAACCGCAUGGUUCAAUAGUGAAAGACGGUUUUGCUGUCACUUAUAGAUGGAUCCGCGCCGCAUUAGCUAGUUGGUAAGGUAACGGCUUACCAAGGCAACGAUGCGUAGCCGACCUGAGAGGGUGAGCGGCCAAACCUGAAAUGAGACAACGUCCAGGCUCCUAAGGGGGGGAGCAGUAGGGAAUCUUCCGCAAGUGGGGGAAGCUUGACGGAGCAACGACGCGUGAAUGAUGAAGGUCUUCGGGUCGUAAAACUCUGUUUUUAGGGAAGAACAAAUGUGUAAGUAACUAUGCACGUCUUGACGGUACCUAAUCAGAAAGCCACGGCUAACUACGUG
rnacentral:rRNA from 1 species